rnacentral:lncRNA from 1 species
UGGACUAUAUUUGCAUGAGCAGAAAAAACGUUUACAAUUUAUGAGAAGCACACGUUAAUCAAUGAAUAAAUAUGAUGACCAUAUUCAUGAAUGAUCACCUAACGUUUCACACCAGUUUUCAUUUUGACGCUUCAACUAAGACUUGUACCAAUUGUAUUCACAUGCAAAAUGCGUCUAUUGAUAUUUUCAAGUGCUACUUGUGGAGAAGUUUUAUUUUGAGUGAGACAGGUACACCAUAAUUGUCUGCUUCUUCCUCAUUUCGUAUAACUCUUCUUCUCGAUUCCUUUUUAAUAUGAUUGUAGUCAGGGGCGAAUCCAGGUUGUCAGGUAAGGGUUCACGGGAACAAGUAGCUUUUGCUCAAAUUCUAUAAAUGUAUUCACUAAAUAUUUGACUAUGAACCUAUUUAUUAUUGUUUAUUAACUUGAAAUGGUUGUACGGACCCAUAAACUUUAAAUUUAUAUCCUCUCUGAUUUUUUGUUGAAGCUGAUUGAUCUGGAUACCUUAUUGUGCAUUGAUACAAAUUUCAUCAGCUUCAUCUUUACAGCUUUAUUGCUGCUUUGAGUUUCUCCCUUGGUGACUCGAACCCAAAAUCUUAGGGUUGGAACUGAGGAGUGAUCACCAUCCGAGCAACUCUCUCUUGUCGAAAUGGUGGCAGAUCAAGAUCUGAUUUUUCUUUGGAAUUGACAAAUUGACUUAGAAUUUAUUGAAUUCUAACAACUCUUAUGUAUGCAUACAGGACUCAGGAGUGGAUGAGGUUGGAAAUUUUGGGCCUACUUGUUCUUCUUUAAUUUGAAUAUGAUUUCAGAAAUGAAAUUCAACUGAUAUUUACUUGCAUCUUCUUUUUCCCAUCCAUGUUUUUGUAGAAAAUAGUGGAAUCGGCAGGGACCCUGUAGUUAAUUAUGUUGUAGUGUAAUUAGUUGGUCACAUAACUGCAAUUAGUUAGAACUUAGAAGUCAGUCUAUAAAUAUAUAGCAGUUUCAUUAGUGUAAUAGGUAAUACAUAUGAAACAAGUUGGAAUUUUGUAUGAAGCACACAAACCAUUAAUAAAUCAAUCUCAUCAAUUCUAGACUAACUGGAGUUGGAAUAAACAACAAAGUAAUUCUCGACACUCAGGAAAGAAGGGUAUUAUGUCUUAAGGAUGUUAACGAGGGGAUAACUCAGUUAUCGAUGCCUCAUUAUGUGAUGAACUAAUAGAUUUACUUUUGGCUAAUUCUCUAGGUCCUGAUGAUCUUGAAUUGUAUUCUUGAAUAAGUGAAAUCUCUGAACUAAUAUCGUUGUGUGUAUAGUAUGCAGGCCCUGAAGGCAGGGGAAGAUUCAGAGAUAGGCUACUGAGCAUGAGAACUACUGCAGCCAUGGUUGGUCUAUCAGAAAUAUUUUCUUGAACGCACAGUAAUGCUAUGUGAAUGCAUCUCAUUAUGUCACGAGCCAUUCCUGAGCUUCCCCUCAACAUGGGGUCUAUCAAAUUUGUAGUUGUUUCUUCGCGCCAGUUCAUCCAAGCCUGUCACAUUUUAAUUCAGAGUUUGAACUCUUACAUUGACAAUGUAAAAGACAUUGAUGCAAAGGAUGGUCUCCCA